rnacentral:rRNA from 1 species
UACGUAGGGUGCGAGCGUUAAUCGGAAUUACUGGGCGUAAAGCGUGCGCAGGCGGUUUUGUAAGCCAGAUGUGAAAGCCCCGGGCUCAACCUGGGAAUGGCAUUUGGGACUGCAAGGCUUGAGUGCGGCAGAGGAGACUGGAAUUCCUGGUGUAGCAGUGAAAUGCGUAGAUAUCAGGAGGAAUACCGAUGGCGAAGGCAGGUCUCUGGGCUGACACUGACGCUCAUGCACGAAAGCGUGGGGAGCAAAC